GACAAAUUUCCCCCAUCAUAUGAUCGAAAAAAAGAUUGGAGCCAGUCGAAAAUUUUUACACGACGGACUGACUUGGGGUAGCGCGCAGGCACACAUUUCUACCUAUUCCUGCUAUUCUGCAAGAAUCUUGAGAUUGUGAAAACUGGAUUCCAUCGGUGAAAUCUGAAAAUAUUCUGUGUGAAAAGAAAAAAGAAAAUUUGCAAAGAUGGCACUCAGCGACGCAGAUGUACAAAAACAGAUUAAGCAUAUGAUGGCUUUCAUUGAGCAAGAAGC